CUUGACUUUGGGACCAGGCAUGAUAGUCACUUGCUACAGAAGCUGGGGAGAAAGGCAUUCAGGAUUCACAGUUGGGAAGAGGAAAAUGCCAGGGCAGCUGCUCCCUGGAGGUCUGAACCCAGACUCUCCCAAGGUGAGAUCCUGGCCUCACUGCCCAUGGAGGAACAACAGUUACUCCAUGUCUCCGGCCCUAUUGGGAACAAAACAUCAUAUCCUGUCACUGGGUGAGGUAACGCCUUGAAUGAGCAUCAGAGGGUGACAUGGCUCAGGGCUGGGUCCUCUGAAAGAUUUUUGUUUAGGUAAACAAAGUUUACUCCAUUAUGAUGAAAUAAAAACCUCAAAUACUGUAAUAACUUUUAAUGAAAAAUCUUCUUGAGUGAGUUAUUACCCCCUGCCCAGCAUGUUCUCAAGUAUUUGUUGUAUAUUAUCUUCUCAUUGGCUGUAUUUUACUACCUGAUUUUUAAUAUAAAAUCAGGGGAUAGGCCCACAACCUUGACCGGAAUAGAACCUGACACUCUAUCUACUGAGCCCAACUGGCUAGGGCUAACUACCUGAUUUUUAAAAUUCCUGACAACAGUCCUAUAUGUCAGGUUCAGUUUUUAUUCCCGUUCACUACCUCAGAGAACUAAGGCUUAAAAAAGUAACUCUAUUCACCAGAGACCCCACUGGUAGACACAAAGCUGGGGUUCCAGCCCAGCCAUGUGCCUCCAGCCUGAACCAGUCAGCCAUGCUCCUACUUCUCCUAAUGGUGUCCCCCAAGCAAUUUCAUCUUUGUGAGGUCUUAGAGGUCUUAAAGAACACCCACGCUUGUGCCACACACACACAUAUGGGCCUCUGUGGGCCACAUAAGGCACAUGCUGUGGGCACUUCCGGAAAAAGCUUUUCUCCACAGAGCUACCGACAGCCUUUCUCUUGAAUGUCAAAGCCAGCUUGAAGGUCCCUGUCCCCAGCUCAAAGCUAGGAGACUGUCCUAGUCAUCCAUGGAGUCAAAUUAGUGGUUCUACUUUAGUAACUGUGUAGGACCCUCUGCCUCCGUGUGUGUGUGUGUGUGUGUGUGUGUGUUCCACCUUUGUCUCCAGCUUGACCUUCCCCUAAAAUGUGUAUUUGUCCUGGCCUUGUUUUAUUGUAUUUUUGUAAGCCAUCUCUAAUGUUCAGGAAAUAAAGCAGAAGCAUAAACAAA